UACGUAGGGAGCGAGCGUUAUCCGGAUUUAUUGGGUGUAAAGGGUGCGUAGGCGGCCUUAUAGGUCUAUGGUCUAAGUCCGAAGCUUAACUUCGGUUCGCCAUAGAAACCGUUAGGCUUGAGUAUAGUAGAGGCAAGUGGAAUUUCUAGUGUAGCGGUAAAAUGCGUAGAUAUUAGAAGGAACACCAGUGGCGAAGGCGACUUGCUGGGCUAUUACUGACGCUGAGGCACGAAAGCGUGGGGAGCAAAUAGG
rnacentral:rRNA from 1 species